GAUGAACGCUGGCGGCGUGUCUUAGGCAUGCAAGUCGAACGGUUAGAUUUAUCUAACAGUGGCAGACGGGUGAGCAAGACAGUGAUAACCUACUCCGGAGUCUUGAAUAACUUUUCGAAAGGAAAGCUAAUCCAAGAUGGACAAGGGGGGACAUAAGUCAUUCCCUUGUAAAGUUCCGACGCUCCGGAAGGGAUCUUUGCCCUAUCAGCUUGUUGGUGUGGUAACGGCAUACCAAGGCAAUGACGGGUAGCGGGUGUGAGAGCAUGACCCGCCACAUUGGAACUGAAACACUGUCCAAACUCCUACGGGAGGCUGCAGUCGAGAAUUUUCCGCAAUGCAGGAAACUGUGACGGAGCGACGCCGCGUGCAGGAAGAAGCCCUUCGGGGUGUAAACUGCUUUUAUUAGGGAAAAAUUCGUGAUGGUACCUAAUGAAUAAGAGGUUGCUAACUACG
rnacentral:rRNA from 1 species